AGUCUUGAUGACCGGAAGGGAUUCCUUCUGGUCAUCGAGACUGUGGAGUCUUUAUGACCGGAAGGGAUUCCUUCUGGUCAUCGAGACU
rnacentral:miRNA from 1 species